ensembl:lncRNA
AGAAAAGAAGACUUUCUGAAAACUCAACAAGGUUUCAGAGAAAAUGCCUACAAGAUUAUCAUGAAGAUGGAUGACUGGUCUAACAUGGCUCCAGGAAGUAAACACUUAGUGGAUGAGAUUCUUCACAGCAUCUUCUUUUUGGGCAAAAUCAACAAAAUCCCUUUUUCUCCAGAAGAAAUAAUCUCUGAUGGUGAUAUUUUGAAAGCCUUAAAGAACAAAUUUCCCAGACCUUUUCAAUUCUAUCUGACUCAGCUUCCCAGACGGAGUCCGUUCUCCUGUGUGCUCGACAUGUCAUGUCUGUCCCGUUUGUAGCAACCGAAAAUAAAAUAAAAUAAAUUCAUAAUUAUAAUAAAGGUCAAUCAAAUGGACCAAUAUGGCAAGGCCAUGAUGAUCCACUUGGUAAAAUAAAUCUGCUUGGCAUCUUUCUUGGCCUUCAGACAACAAUUCUGACGGCUAAAGAUCCAAAUGGGACAAAAAAAAAAAAAAAAGUUUAAUUUAAUUUAAUCUAACCCAAUAACUUUAAUCUCAGCCAAACCGAUUUGCCCACAAACAAAUAAAACACUGAAAAAGCCAAACAAUAACAUUUUUAAGUUAUCAAAGUGACUUAUAUAUCAUGUUUAACCCGAGUAGUGAAAGACCACGGGGGUUUGAAAACGAUGUGUCGGUCGGCUCAGAAAUUUGAAGUUUACACAGCUACAUUCUCACCUGAAAACAUGUUAAAAGUUUUUUUUUUGCGACCCAGAAAGAGAAAUAAGAGUAAUAUUAAAACUAAGCAGCUGCCGUCAUUGUUGGAAACUGGAAUUGGCUGGGCUGCACUAUGAAUUCUGUGAUAUGGUUUUUCAAUUUUGUUGUCCGGGUGGAAAAUCGAGAGAAAUUCGGGAGAAUGGUGGCUCCGGGAGAUUAUGACGCUAUAAUUUGAGAUACAAUAAAUAAAAUAAGUUUUUGUACAAAGUAUCAGUAUCAGAUCAGUAUCAUCGAUACCACCCUGAAUAUUACUUGGUAUCGGAUCGGAAAGGAAAUCAGUGGUAUCGCACAUCACUAGUGUCCGCUACUUUGAAACGCUUGGGCCGCUCUGCCCGCCACAGUUUCAAACUGGUCAUGUGACUGCAUGGCCACAUCUCAUUGGUAAAAAAGUACCAACUUUUUAAAGAGUAACGAGUCGAAUUUUGCAAAUGUAGCGAAGUAACAGUACCGUUUCUUCUUCACAAAUGUACUCAAGUAAAAGUAAAAAGUAUCGUGCAAAAAAGGUACUUUAAAAGUACAUUUUUUUCAAAAACGUACUCAAGUAAAUGUAACAGAGUAAAUGUAACUCGUUACUACCCACCUCUGUUGAAAUUAGAUAUAUUUUGAACUAUUCCACUCCAUCUCUUAUCUAAAUAAAAAGC